GACGAACGCUGGCGGCGUGCUUAACACAUGCAAGUCGAACGGAAAGGCCUCUUUCGGGGGGUACUCGAGUGGCGAACGGGUGAGUAACACGUGAGCAACCUGCCCUUGACUUUGGGAUAACUUCAGGAAACUGGGGCUAAUACCGGAUAGGAGCUCCUGCUGCAUGGUGGGGGUUGGAAAGUUUCGGCGGUUGGGGAUGGACUCGCGGCUUAUCAGCUUGUUGGUGGGGUAGUGGCUUACCAAGGCUUUGACGGGUAGCCGGCCUGAGAGGGUGACCGGCCACAUUGGGACUGAGAUACGGCCCAGACUCCUACGGGAGGCAGCAGUGGGGAAUAUUGCACAAUGGGCGGAAGCCUGAUGCAGCAACACCGCGUGCGGGAUGACGGCCUUCGGGUUGUAAACCGCUUUCGCCUGUGACGAAGCGUGAGUGACGGUAAUGGGUAAAGAAGCACCGGCUAACUACGUG
rnacentral:rRNA from 1 species